rnacentral:rRNA from 1 species
AGUGAACGCUGGCGGUAGGCCUAACACAUGCAAGUCGAACGGCAGCACAGUAAGAGUUUGCUCUUACGGGUGGCGAGUGGCGGACGGGUGAGGAAUACAUCGGAAUCUACUUUUUCGGGUGGGUUAACGUAGGGAAACUUACGCUAAUACCGCAUACGACCUAUGGGUGAAAGCAGGGGAUCUUCGGACCUUGCGCGAUUGAAUGAGCCGAUUUCGGAUUAGCUAGUUGGCGGGGUAAAGGCCCACCAAGGCGACGAUCCGUAGCUGGUCUGAGAGGAUGAUCAGCCACACUGGAACUGGGCCACGGACCAGACUCCUACGGGAGGCAGCAGUAGGGAAUAUUGGACAAUGGGCGCAAGCCUGAUCCAGCGAUACCACGCGGGUGAAGAAAACCUUCGGGUUGUAAAGCCCUUUUGUUGGGAAAGAAAAGCAGCAGGUUAAUACCCCGCUGUUCUGACGGUACCCAAAAAAUAAGCACCGGCUAACUACGUG